AGGGGGCAUCCCCGUGGGUGCAAAGGAGAGAUCCGGUACCGGCUGGGCAUGCGGCGCAUUAGCUAGUUGGCGGGGCAACGGCCCACCAAGGCGACGAUGCGUAGGGGUUCUGAGAGGAAGGUCCCCCACACUGGAACUGAGACACGGUCCAGACUCCUACGGGAGGCAGCAGUGAGGAAUAUUGGUCAAUGGGCGCAAGCCUGAACCAGCCAAGUCGCGUGAGGGAAGACGGCCCUACGGGUUGUAAACCUCUUUUGCCGGGGAGCAAGCCUGAGCACGUGUGCCCAGGCGGAGAGUACCCGGAGAAAAAGCAUCGGCUAACUCCGUGCCAGCAGCCGCGGUAAUACGGAGGAUGCGAGCGUUAUCCGGAUUUAUUGGGUUUAAAGGGUGCGCAGGCGGGCUGUUAAGCCGGCGGUAAAAAUUCAGGGCUCAACCCUGUCGAGCCGUCGGAACUGGCAGUCUUGAGUGGGCGAGAAGUAUGCGGAAUGCGUGGUGUAGCGGUGAAAUGCAUAGAUAUCACGCAGAACGCCGAUUGUGAAGGCAGCAUACCGGCGCCCAACUGACGCUGAGGCACGAAAGCGUGGGGAUCGAACAGGAUUAGAUACCCUGGUAGUCCACGCAGUAAACGAUGAGCGCUAACUGUCCGGAGCGAGCGAGCUCUGGGUGGUACAGUGAAAACGUUAAGCGCUCCACCUGGGGAGUACGCCGGCAACGGUGAAACUCAAAGGAAUUGACGGGGGCCCGCACAAGCGGAGGAACAUGUGGUUUAAUUCGAUGAUACGCGAGGAACCUUACCCGGGCUCAAACGUAAGCGGAAUAACGGUGAAAAAAAUUAGCUAUUUAUAGCCGCUUACGAGGUGCUGCAUGGUUGUCGUCAGCUCGUGCCGUGAGGUGUCGGCUUAAGUGCCAUAACGAGCGCAACCCCCAUCGCCAGUUGCUAACAAGUAACGUUGAGGACUCUGGCGAGACUGCCGGCGCAAGCUGCGAGGAAGGCGGGGAUGACGUCAAAUCAGCACGGCCCUUACGUCCGGGGCGACACACGUGUUACAAUGGCAGGUACAGAGAGAAGCCAUCCCGCGAGGGAGAGCGGAACUUUAAAGCCUGUCUCAGUUCGGAUUGGAGUCUUUAAAGGGACUCCAUGAAGCUGGAUUCGCUAGUAA
rnacentral:rRNA from 1 species